AUUUAAGUCUCUGGAGGGUAGGGAUUUUCCUCUGCUGUUGUAAUUAGAGCCGAGGCCCUAAGCAGCCCCUCUGCCUGGCUGUUGCUGUGGCAACCUUACCCUGCACCCCAUUACUACACAAUGGUUACUGUGAGAGCACCAACGGUUGCUUGCGCAGUCAUUGGUGUGCGUGACAAUGGGUCCUUCCCCGAAGCGAGUAGCUGUCAAUAAGCAACCGGUCGUGGUCCUGCUCAGCCAUUGGUUGGCGCUGUAGCAGGCCCCUCCCACAAGCAACCAACUGUCAGUGAGCAACCGUCAGUGGGCCUAUUCAGCCAACCCGUGGACCAAGUGGUGGUUGUCAGGAGAAGAGCGAGAAACAUGUCCAAGAUGGGACCUCUGUCAAGCUUAGGGCCACGAGUGACUACAGAAAUCAGAGGACAACUCCCCCGACCACAAACAUCAAUUCAAAUUGGUCAUGUAACAUAAGCAAGAGAUAAUUAAGAUUUAGGGGUAUUUGUUAAUAUGGCAUAGCCUAACCCAUCCUGACUUAUGCACUAAUUUAAACCAUCUCUGAGAACUAAUUCUUAAGAAGAUUCAAAAGAGUUUUACAAAGCAGCCUCACAAUUACAGACUGCUUUUAAGUGCAUGAGAGGCUGUGUAUGUGAGAUGAAUCAUUUCUCUUAAAGGGAAAAUCAAAGUAAUGAAUUUAUAACUAUUAAUACAUGAUCUACCUUCUGAGUGACUUUCAUUGAAUAAUUUAAUCCCAGAUUUUUUUAAGCACUUAUGUAAGAAUACUGUAUAAGAAAAUAUUUUGAAACUUAGCUGAGAGAAGAUUUAGUGGUUGGUAGCAUUCCCACAUACCUUCAGAGAAGGGUUCUGAGGAAAUAAAGAGGUGUCAUGUUCACAUUCUAAUUUUACAGUGGUCAGAGUCGUCUUGAAACAAAAGACCAGGAUAUGUAUAAAACAUUUCAGGCAAGAUUUAACAUCAUGAGACAGUUAGGCUUCUUAUCACAAGGAAGUUGAAAGAAAAAAAAAAAAGAAACCUCCAGUUUAAAUUGCAGAUUAUGUUCAGACAAGACAACCCUGGAAAUUAUUUCUGUCUGGGGAAUCCAAAACAAUUAUGUAAAUGAAGCUGGUACUUCCUAUUCUAUUUUGUUUAAGGUGAAUAUGGGUCAGUUCAACUAUUGUAAAUUUCUUCAAUAUCCACUGGCAGAAACAUUAUCACGUGGGUUAAUGAGUUUAUUUAAAUGGAUGGUGAAAAAAAUUAAAAAAUAGUGUUUACUUCUUACUGAUAUUGAAUAGUGUCCUUUUAAUCACAGUCUUUUUUUUCAGGUUUAAUAUGAAGCUACUUUCUGACAUUUAGAAUUACCAAAUUACUUCAGCUCCUGAAAGAUAUUAAUAGAGCUUAUAAUACUUUUUGUCAUUUCAGUAGAAGGUGCUAAAUAAGACUGGUCAGCUUAGAAGCCUGAAAGAAAUUAGUUCUAAGUUAUUUCCUCAUGCCUGAAAUUGCAAAUGUCAGGUUCCAUUACAAGUGGCUGAGACAAGAGCUCCUCCCUUGCCCCCCUCAGUGCAGGGUAGCCCAGAAGUCUGAGCACUAAGGCUUUGGGGUCCUCUUACCAUUAUUGAACACCUACCACAUUGUGCUUCCUAUGUUUGCUGCUGAGGUGCCACCUGCCCUCAUGGAGCUUCUGGUCUCUCGGAGCUGUCAGACCAGUAAGUCAACAUUGGUGAGUUGUGAGUAGCUACUGUGGAUAACAAACGAAAUGGUUUAAAACAACUGCUUGAUUAUAUCUCAUGGAUUCUGUGGGUCAGGAAUUCAGAGUCAGGAUGUGGCUGUGUAGUUCUUCUAUUCCUUCGGGAGCUGCUGAUGUCACUCCAUGGGCCUCAGCCGGUGAGUGGGCUGCUCUAAAGGAUCCCAACAGCUGAACUCACAUGUCUGGAAGGAGUGGCUGAAAGACUGAGCUUGUAAUGGACUGUCAACUGGAGUGCCCAAGCGUGGUGUUUUCAGCCUGGUGGUUUCAAGGCAAUUGGAUUUCCUACAUAGGAUCUGCUUCCCUGGUGGCUCAGACAUUAAAGAAUCUACCAGCAAUGCAAGAGACCUGAUUCAAUCCUGGGUUGUGCAGAUCCCCCAGAGAAGGCAAUGGCAACCCACUCUGGAAAAUCCCAUGGACAGAGAAGCCUGGUGGGGCUGCAGUUCCAUGUGGUCACAAAGAACUGGACAUGCCUGAGGGACUAACACACACACACACACACACACACACACACACACACACACACACACACACUAACAUAGGGGCCAGAUACCCCUAGACUAAGCAUCUCAAGAAAAUUAGGUAGAAGCUUCAUGGCCUUUUUGGCCUUGGACUGGAGAUUCACACAACAGAACUUUUAACAAUUUAUUUUUGGUUAUGAGUGAAUCGUAAGGUCAGCCUGGAUUCAAGUGAAAGGAAACUGAACUCUAUUUCAUGGUGUGGAUGGGAAUGGCAAAUUCACAGUGUACAAAGUUUGUGGGAAGGAGUUACCAUUGUGGUCACCUUUUCUUUAUGGUAAAAAAAUUUAUAUUUAGUUAGCUGGACUCAGAUGAUCCCAAUUUUGUUGGCGAUAUCCAAAGAAUCAUAGAAGGGAGCCAGUUGAACAUGUGUCUUCUCUCCAUCAGGCCUAAUCAAUGUUGACCUUGACCACAUCAUGGUCAGAAAGCAUCUGCACAGCCUGAUCUGGUGCCUACUGGCCUUGGCAUUCAGUGAACAUAAGUGAACUGUUGCCUUCUAUCUCCUUCAUGGCUGACUCGGAGUUCAAGAGGAACUUGGUGAUGGCAUGGUGGUCAAGCUUAUUUCUCCUGGGGCCGCUCUUUUGAGGAUAUUUGGAACUCCUUCAGAGCGCAGUGUCUUGGGCCAUCGAAAGGCGGGUGAUAUGUGGAUCUUAUUUAUGAUCAUCUUUGAAAAUGCAAUCUAUCGGAGAAAGGAAAAAGCAGAGAUGGAGGGAAAGGUUCUAUAGACCUAAAGGUGAGAAGGAGCAGACAAUUGAAAGAUAAUAAUUAGGAGGAAGUCCGUGGAAAGUUCCCCAGGCAGAGUACUUCUGGCAAAGGUCCUGAGCUGAAAAAGAACUUGCCAAAUUUGAUGAACUAUAAAUAAAUAAAUAAACAAAAAAUAAACAAUAGCUAGAGCAUAGAGGGAGAAGGUGAGGCUUCAAAGAUUAGGAGCUCAGGUAGUAUCUUGUGAGCAAUGUUAAGACACAGAGGCUUUGCUAAGAGCAAUGGGAACCAGAUGUUUGAGUAGAGAGUAAUGUGAUCUGAGGGUUUAUGUGGAUCCUUCUGAAUGAACUGGAGCAGUCAAGUAUGGACCAGGUAGGAGAUGGCUGCAGUGUCCAUGCUGAUGAUGAGGGUGGUCUGAAUUACUGUGGCAGCAGAGAAGCAGACAGAUUUGAGUUCUGUUUGGAAACAUAAUUGAUAGGUCUUGCUGGUGGGAAAAAACAUGACGAGGCUAGGGACUGUGAGAUGUGUUAGUUUCCUAGGACCUGUAACAAACGAUCACAAAUUAGGUGGCUUAAGAACCACAGAAAUCUAUUCUCACACAGUUUUGCAAGCUAGAUGCCUGAAAUUAAGGUGUUGGCAGGCCAUGCUCUCUCUGAAGCUCUAGGGGACAAUCUACUCCAUGCUGUUCUCUUGGCUUUCGUGGUUGCUGGCAGGCCUGGAUGCUCUGUAGCUUUGCAGACGCAUCGUUCUAAUCUCUGCCUCAAUCAUCAUGUGGCAUCUCUCCCAUGUUUCUCUUUGUCUCUUCUUCUCUUUUUAUAAUGACACCAGUCAUAUUGGAUGAAGGAUUUACCCUACUCCAGCAUGUCAACCUGACACAGAUAGACUGCCAGACAUGUCUCCAAAAAUAUGGGUUUAUUCAGGAUCAGCAGAGAAUUGCAGUUCUGCAACUAUGCCGAGCCAAGUGCAAGAGAAGGGAAGUGCUUUUAUAGAGAAGGAGAGGAAUGUCGGAGAGUCAUAGCAAGCAAAGAAUCCGUGGCUUUUCACUGGCUGAGUCCUCCCCAGGAAAGAGGAGAGUCACUCUUCCUCCUGUUGGGCUCUGCUUUUGUCACAGGGCGUCAGAGCUUCCCUUCCUGGUCUCCCGACUCCAUUUGAUUGAGGCUUCUGUUCAUUAAGCCUUUUACAAGUAUGGUCUCAACUUACAUCUUAAUUACAUCUACAAAGAUUCUGUUCCUAAUAAGGUCACAUUCACAGGUACCAGGGGUUAGGACUUCUCAACAUAUCUUUAGUGGGGGGCACAAUUUAAUCCACAAUAUGAGGAAAAGAAAGGAGUAAUCAUGGAUGCCUCCCUGUUUUCUAGUGUGAAUCUUUGGGGGAAUAGUGGUGCGUGGUGUUGAGGUAAGAGCAAGUUGGAGGAGACAGCUGGGAAAUCAAGCAUUUUAUUUUGAAUAUAUUGAUCUUCAGGUGACUAUGAGACACAGGUUUUGGAGGGAAGCUUAGAUGGGAAGCCCUAUGUUGUAGGAACUGUACCCUGUUGAGGGCAGGAUAUCUGGCUGUCAAGAACAAAGAAAGAAGCCUAGAGCCCAGGGGACCUCCAUUCCAUCUCUCAAGACAGGAGAGACCAUUAGGGCAGUGGUGUGCAGGCAAAUGUGUAACAGCUAGCUUUCCAGGGGAAGGAGGGGAGAGGAAAGCCCUGAACUGGAGAGGCUGCCAGCUCCCCUGGUGUAAAUAUUCCCAUCAUGGUCACAGACCUGCACAAUUCCUGAAAAUGUCCAAAUUGAUCCUUGCAUGCUGGCACGAGCUGGCUCUGGCACAGCUCUGAAUUGAAGGCCCUGUUUUAUGCUACUAGUUGUGUGAGCUGAACAAUUAACUUACCCUCUCUGGGCAUUGGUGUCUUUAUAAAAUGGAUGGCUGCUCCUAAUGCUCCCUGCCUGCUCUCUCAGAGCAUGAAUCCCAACAGCAACAUUUUGGUUCUGUCCUGGUAAUAAUGAGGCCCUUUGAAUGGAGCACAUGGUAUUUUACAAUAAAACAGUUGAGUGGAUAAAGCGUGGGCAGUGACACUCCUGUUUAGUGACCAGCUCCUAGAACUAGAAAUGCAACACGGGGAAGGGGACAUAGACUCCACUUGAGAGACGUGAAGACUUUUUCGAAGUUCACGUGAGGCCAGAGAUAUUCUUGUGUCGACUUUUGGAAAAACAAACUGCCACAUGAGCUUUCUAGAGGAAUGUUUUUCUCAUCUCUCUGGGUAGGAUGUCAAGGCAACAUAAUAAUUACUCCUUCAAGGUACCUCAAGUCUUUGGGGCUAAGGAUGUGUGUCUCAGUUUUUAUUUUUUUAUUAUUUAUUUUUGGCUGUGCUGGGUCUUCAUUGCUGCUUGCGUUUUUCUCUAGUUGUGACAAACAGUGGCUACUCGGAGGCGGGCUUUUGGCUGUGGCGGCUUCUCUUACUGCAGAGCACUGGCUCCAGGAUGUUCAGGCUUCAGUAGGAUGUUCAGGCUUCAGUAGCUGUGACCCACGGGCUUAGCUGCUCCAUGGCAUGUGGGGUCUGCUGGGACCAGGGAUUGAACCUGUGUCUUCCGCAUCGGCGUGCAGAUUCUUUAGCACUGAGCCACUAAGGGAGCUCAUGGAUGUCUCUGAUAUAAAGGUCAGGACAAAAGUCUUCAGUCUUUAUGGGAGCUUAUGUACUUCUUGUCCCCACAGUCUUGAGAUCCACCCAGAGUCGAGAGAAGGGGGAUAAACAAGACUGACCCAAUAGUGACUUUCAUAAAUAGUGCAGGGAGCCAAACGCAGGGCUGGGUGCAAAUCCCUCUCUACUAGGACACCUGUUGGGAGGGAAAUGCCAUUAGGAACCAGUGAUUGGCCAUAGUCUGCAAGCUAGGAAAGUAUGGAUUAUACAUUUCUAUCCAUCUGUAUCAGUGGAAAUGUCAUGUUCCACUGCUAACAACAGAAAUUCAUUUGCAGUGCCUUAAAUUCACAAAGGUUUAUUAGAUAAAAGACAACUGAAAAUCAGCAGGCUAGACCAAUUCCACGGUCUUCAUAGAUCACAUUUCCCUCUAUGUUUCUGCUUCAUUUUGUUGCUAUAUUUUUCCACUUCCCUUCAAAAGAUCAUCUCUUGUUCAGGGUGACUGCUGGAGCUCCAGCCAUUAUAUCCACAUUUCAGGCAAUAGAGAGAACGAAGAAGGAAGGCUUAUCUCACUGUCUCUUAGGCGGUCUUCUCAGAAGCUUCGGUCUUUCUGUUUAUAUCAUUUUGGACAGAACUUGGUUAUAUGGGAUUGCCUAGUUACAAACAAGGCUGGGAAAUGUACUUUGUAGUAGGAGAUGAUGCCUGAGGUUUUGUUUUCUAAAGAUAAAAGUGAAAAAUUGAUAUUUGGAGACAAAGUCCUCUUUGUCACCUUUCCUACUUGGUAAGUAAGAUACCCAUCGAGUUAAAUGCAUCACAAAGAUAUAUGAUUGUGGUAACAUUUACUCCUUUUAAGUCUCUAUAAUAAUUGAGAGGUUUACUUCAUUAUUUCAAAAUGCGAGGUGAGAAGAUUUUCUGGAAUCUAUUUCCCUACUCUGAACAGUUGAUGACAGCAUAUAAACCAUGUUUUAAGCCUCCUGUAAUUUCAAAGCACCUUUUGCUCUAAAGGACUGAAGUCGCAGCUAAUGCAAGAUACAUGAAGACAGUCUGGAGUUUGGAGGAUGACACCAACUCUGAAAUGUUCCAUGGCUGAUGCCUGCGCCUUGUGUUUCUUACAUAAUCAUGCCUCUUCUUAAAGUGCUGGCAAUUUAGGUAAUUGUCAAUAUUAAAAUAUUCGCUCAGUGUUACAUAGAUACAAAUGUACACUCCCAUCUGCACAGAAAAUGUCAUGAAAUGUUCUAGUUUUCUCUACCUGCAAACAUCCUACACUUACAGGCCCAGCUGAAGUCCCACUUCAUUCUUGAAGCUUUUCUUGGCCCCAGUGCUCUUGUCCUCUCUCCCUUCUCUGCACUCGGGGACCAACUCUACUGUUUGCAUUUAAUAAUUAGGAUCCAACACUUAGGGCUUUCCUGGUGGUUUAGCAGUAAAGAAUCUGCCUGUGAUGCAGGAGACAUGGGUUCAAUCCCUGAGUCAGGAAGAUCCCCCGGAGAAGGAAAUAGCAACCCACUGCAGUAUUCUUGCCAGGGAAAUCCCAUGGACAGAAGAGCCUGGAGGGCUACAUAACUUAGCAACUAAAAAAACAACAAAGACAAUGACCCAACAUUUAACACACAAUAAGAAAACAUUUAAUAUCAGUCCCAAACACUUGAGUGGUUAACUAUGGCCUGCUAGAGUCAUAUGUGUGCUGUGCUUAGUUGCUCAGUCAUGUCCAACUCUUUGUGACCCCAUGGACUGCAGUCUGCCAGGUUCCUCUGUCCAUGGGAUCCUCCAGGCAAGAAUACUGGAGUGGGUUGCCACACCCUCCUCCUGGGGAUCUUCCCAACCCAGGAAUUGAACCCAGGUCUCCUGUAUUGCAGGUGGAUUCUUUACCAGCUGAGCCACCAGGGAAGCCAAAUGUAGAAUUCUUAACUUCCCAAGUUGAGUGUGACCUCUUCAUCUCAUACUUUUUCUAAUUACUCUGCCUUAGGCAUUAAAUAUUUCCAGGCUGACAGAGUCCUGUAGAUGGUUCUGGCAGUAAGCAUCAGAAACCGGAGGAGCGUAGACUAAUCAACUCACUGCUUGUUUCCACUAAAGGAAUAAAACCCCUCACUCCACGUCUCUGAAUCUCAAAAGCACCACAUUCCAGAAUAGCUAACAUGGAAAAUGCAGUCAAUAUUCAUACAUUGUUGUUGUUUAGUCACUAAGUGCAACCACUUUUGAGAACUGCUUGACUGUAUUUCCUAUGAUCACAUAGGAAUAUUUUAUGACCUGGCAUCUCCACUCCAAGAUUAAUGUUCAAUAGAUGUGCAAAAUUAGCAACAACAAAAUAACAAAAAAUGCACUAGAAGGUUCAGAGUACUAUUCAUAAUAUUCCUGGAAACUACCCAUAUGUCUUUCAACAGUGUAAUGGAUAAGGAGAUUGAGUUAAGUAUGUUUUUACACAAUAGAACAUUAUAUGACAACAAAAAUGGACCAAGUAUUGCUACAUGCAACAACAUGGAUAAAUCUCACAAAUAUAAUGUUGAGUGAACAAGUCAAACAUAAAAUAGGCCUUACUGUUUGGUUUCAUUUAUAUAAAUUUCAGAAACAAGCAAAGGAAUCUAUCAGAAAUCAGGAUGGAGGUUGCCUGAGGUGUAAGGGGGUUGCCUUUGGAAAGAGGCGCAGUGAGCGCUCCUGGGCUGCUGGGGAUGCUGUAUUUCUUAAUCUGGAUGCUGCUUCCAUGGGUAUGAGGUCUUCCCUUUGUGAAACACAGACUGAGCCACACACGUAUGAUGUGUACAUUUUUAUCUGAGGAUGUUAUGCUUCAAUAAAAAGCACACUAAAAAAUGAACAGAAAUGGUAAGUUGUGGUUGGCACAUAGUAGGUAAUCACCCAUCCCAACUUCUCUGUGUGCUGCUAGGAAACAUGAAAUGAAGGGUUUAUAAGAAAAUCUCCAAACUUGCUUGUAGCUCUAAUAUCCUAUGCUUCUAUGAUUACACUGGAAAAAGACUAGAAGAGAAUUCUGACUUCAGUUCACAGUGGGAAAUUCCACUUGCCAAGAAGAAGGCCCUGGGGCCAGCCAGCCCUCUGGGCCUGAGCUGAUUAUGGACGUGUCCCAAGCCCUUCAGGACAAGCGGUGUGUGGUGGAGCAGAGAAUCUCUUUUUGGGAGGGCCACGUGGUAUGCGGAGUCUUAGUUGCCACAUCUGCUUCAGUGGAACUGCACAGUCUUAACCACUGGACUGCCAAGGAAGUCCCUGGGGCAGAGCACCAUUUGCUGAAGAGGUGAGAGGCAGGAGGCUGUGCUGCAGCCGUUCUUUCUGGAUUCCUCCCUCACUCACUUCGUCCUGUUUCUCUCUUCCCUUGUCAGCAGCUUUCCUGGCUGACACUCUCUGCUUUUAGGGCUGACAGCUGGCUGGGACAAGUUUCCCUUUUCCUCUCACCUCGUUGGCACCUGUCUCAGUUCCCCUUGUUAUGGUUGCUGCCAUGAGCUCUUGCAGCCUUUGUGUCCCAUGUUCCCCACCCACCUAGUAGCUGAACCUGCCUUAUUUGCCUUUCCCAGAGGCACAAGGCGUUUUAGCAUCUAAAACUUGAAACACUCCCUUUCUGCCUUACCUCUCCAUGGCAUACUUGUCAAUUUCAGUGUGCUACACUACACUGAGUGCUUAGAAAAGAAUAAUUGAGGGAGAAAAUAAAGAAUUGAGGUGCUACAGAUGGGCAGAGGGAUCAAAGGCAGACAUGGACAGGGCCCCAGCCCCUCCUAUCACUCGGUUUGUAAGCAGUCUCUGCUCACCCCUGGGUUACAGAAAAUGCAAACACUGCCACAGGAGCUUUCCACAAGCCCCUGGCCUAACAGGGAUGAAGAAUGCAGGCAAAUGUAUAGGUAAUUAAUAGUGAGAAACCUCAAAUGAAUAAUGAUGUAGCCACGAAACAGAAAUGCCACAGGGACCCAAAAGGAACAUGGGAUCCUCCAAGAGAGCAUCACAUAAACAAAGCCUCAUGGAAGGCAGACAGGUUAAAGUUGGAAACACUUUCAUUGCAAUCCAAAUCUGAAGUUUUUUGAGAGAUUAAUGGAGAAUGAAAAAGGCUGGCUCCGUAAUCAAGAAAUACAGAGUCCAAAAGUUGGCUCUAUUAGCUUUACUGGGAUGGGGGCUUGUGCUGUCGAAGGGAGCAGGGAUAACUGAUGUAACCAUAUGAAGCUAAGCAAAGUUGUGAGCAAGAAGUAAAAUCUAGUCCACAGAGGAAGCGUUAUUAAAAGAAAAAUCAUGGACUCUUAUACUUAAUGCAUUUCUGUAGGAACUUGGUCACCCAAUGUACAGUCCAGGCCCAGGUCCUGCCUGCUGUAGGUCCAGUCAUCUGCUCGAGAGGUGGGGGAGUGGGGAAAGGGAAGAAUAUGGGUUUAUCCCUUCCUUCUGUUCCUAAAGAGCCUCUUGAUAACAGUGAAAGAGGAGAGUGAAAAAGCUGGCUUCAAACUCAACAUUCAAAAAACGAAGAUCAUGGCAUCUGGUCCCUUUCACUUCACGGCAAAUAGAUGGGGAAACAAUGGAAACAGUGAGAGACUUUAUUUUCUUGGGCUCCAAAAUCACUGCAGAUGGUGACUGCAGGCAUGCAAUUAAAAGACACUUGCUCCUUGGAAGAAAAGCUAUGACCAAUAUAAGACAGCAAUAUUUAAAAGCAGAGACAUUACUCUGCUGACAAAGGUCCAUCUAGUCAAAGCUAUGGUUUUUCCAAUAGUCAUGUAUGGAUGUGAGAGUUGGACCAUAAAGAGAGUUGAGAACCAAAGAAUUGAUGCUUUUGAACUGUGGUGCUGGAGAAGACUCUGGAGAGUCCCUUGGACUCCUAGGAGAUCCAACCAGUCAAUCUUAAAGGAAAUCAGUCCUGAAUAUUCAUUGGAAGGACUGAUGCUGAAGUUGAAACUCCAGUACUUUGGCCACCUGGUGGGAAGAACUGACUCAUUGGAAAAGACUCUGAUGCUGGGAAAGAUGAAGGCAGGAGGAGAAUGGGAUGACGGAGGAUGAGAUGGUUGGAUGGCAUCACCAACUCAAUGGACAUGAGUUUGAGCAAGCUCCAGGAGUAGGUGAUGGACAGGGAAGCCUGGCGUGGUGCAGUCUAUGGGUUUGUAAAUAAUUGGAUAUGACGGAGUGACUGAACUGUGUGUCUGUUCCUACUCCUGAUAUAAAACACCAGACAGUCAUAAAACAACGUAACCCAAUGCUGAAGAAUGAGACAAAUGUGAUGGGACCUAUCACAUCCAUUUCUUAUUUCUGUGAUUUUCUGGUCCAUAAACCAACUGAGGAUAAACAGGGAAAAACAGCCUGAGUUCUAUUAGAACCGCAUGAAGUAAAAUCCUCUUGGCACUCAAGAAUGCAUCUCAAUGCCUACUUUAAGGCUUGUUGUCUAUAAGGCCUCCAAAAGAUGAAAGCGAUUACAAAGCUGAAUAGUAAAGGUCAUAAGAGUAAACACUUUUAUGGGUUUCCCAUGUGCUGGCCACAGUGUUCUAAGCACUUGCCAGGUAUGUCCAGCCACAGCACUGUGAUGGAGUUACUGGAACUGCACCUGUUUUAGAGAAAUAGGGAAACUGAAGGAGAGGCAUAUACAAUUUCAUUCAUUCUUUCACUCAUGCGUUCAUUCAACAAACAUUUCUCCUCUUGCAUGUCUGGAUGUAGCGGGUUUGCUGCUUUGCAGGUGCGUGCUGAAUGCCUGGCAGGAUCAAAAGCUGUCCGUAGGCAGCUUGAGCUGCUUAACAAAGUGCCACAGACUGGGUGACUUAAAGAGCAGGAUUUUAUUUUCUUACCAGUCUGGAGUCUGGAAGUCCUGGGAGAUAUGGUUUCUACCAAGACCUCUCUCUGUGGCUUGCAUGAGGCCACCUUCUCUCCAUGUCCUCACGUGGCUUUUGCUCUGAGCUGUGUAUCUCUGAGGUUUCUGUGUCCUAGGACAUCAGUUAACCUGAUGUCCAUUAGGGCCCAACUCUCAGGCAUCAUUUUAGCUUAUCUCUUUAAAAUCCAUCUCCAAAUAUAGUCACUUUCUGAACAUUUGAGGGAGGGAAGGGCAUGGACACCAUUCAUGCCAUGACAGCUGGGAAGACAAUGAGAUUCCUUGACUGAGGUCAUGAGACCUUAACUGCAUCCCUGUAAGCUGGGCCUAGCAGCUUCCUCUUCCCCGGCGACAUCAGAACUCACAAGGUUUGCAGCCUGAAUCCCCAAGGACUGAGGCGGAUGAACUAUAUGAAAUCAUCCCACAAGUUGUUUGUUAACCAGCCGUCCACCAGCUGCAGUACAAUGGCGGCCUGUGCGGACCAAGGAACGCAGCUGUGUCCAAUUGCUCAGAGUGUUUGCUAAAAACAUUGAAAAGGAAACAUCUGCUUAUACUAUAUUUUUCUUUCUUUUUUUCCUUUGAAUGGUUCAAAAGGGAAUAAAGCAGAUUUCAGUAACUCUGCCACCCGGAGCUGGAUUCCUGCCUUCAAUAAUUCUUCUGUGCUUGUCACAUUCAUACUUGCUCUGAGGCACUUCAAACGCUGCUGAUUUAUUCUUCCAUGAAUUUGAAUGAAGGUAGUGCUGAGGAGCCAAGUUGUUCUGCUCUUCAGAUGGGAUUUCACGGUCUAUCUGCCAACUUAUUAAGAGAACCUACUCCUUCCAGUUUUCCAGAUUUAUUCCGAUUACAAUUUAUCUUAGUCGUCUUAAUCUUGAAAUAAAGAGCUGUGGGACCCAAUAGUGUAUUAUAUCCACCAAAACUUUGAUCCCUCAAGACAGUGUGGAAGAACCACUUAAAAAUAUUUUAAAAAUCAUAGUCAUAAAUGUGGCUGGGCAAUCACAAUGCAUAAUGCUCUGAAAAUCUGCUCCCAACUUCAAAUUUCUAGUUCCCUAAGAAGGCAGCCAGUCAUAAGAAAGUAAAGAUCAGUGUAUCUUUAUAUACAACCAUUUCUCUCAUUUUCAAGCCCUUUGUAAGUAGUCAACACUGGGAAACCCAGGCGUGAUGGCAUCAGAGCUGCUUGUCUUAAAAGUCUGCAGAAAAUGUGGUGCAGAGUCUAACUCCCUCUUGCUUUAAGUUGAAAAGGCUGCCUUUGGUGGAGAGCGAAGUGCAACCAUCUGCUUAAUGAGAGGUGCCCCUCUGCAAGGAGAAGACCUGGGAGGACCAGAGGAUGAGUGUUCUGCACUGGUUCUAUCAUGGAUUCAUUCUGACUUAAGAGAUCAUUUUACAUCCCGUUGCCUCAUGUGCUUUCUCAUUAAGAUGGCAGGGCUUUACCAGCUUUCUCUCUCACAGGAGGAUCAUGUGGAACAAUUAAGGGUUAAUUAACUAAUUGGAGGACAACUGUGCAAGAGAGAUAAUGAAGAUUUCUAUUGCAUUUCCCUGGCUUUGGGUAAGGCCACUCCUAAAU
ensembl:lncRNA